UAUUUGAAAAAAAAAAAAAAAAGUUUAUGAGUUUGAACAUCAAAUAUCUUGUCUUUGUAGUGCAUUCAAUUGAAUAUGGGUUGAAAAGGAUUUGCAAAUCAUUGUAUUCCGUUUAUAUUUACAUCUAACACAAUUUCCCAACUCAUAUGAAAACGGGGUUUGUACAUUCACAAGUUUCAAUUCAGCAGGAAGCCGGAAGUGUUGCGCCAUAGCCAGAGCGGGAUAGCGGAGAAGGAGAAAAAAACGUUGAUUAGGUGGCAGAUAUAUAUUUGCAAGGCCAUUUUCAAGAAGGAUAUUCAAAGAGAAUCUACAUAUGGUGAGGCCAUGUCAGCCAACUCUGGAAGCCAGCUCAGCCGUUCCAGCGAUGAGAUAGGGAAAUGCUCGGCAUCUCCACUCGCAUAAGACGAGGGGUACCUCUGGCUUAUACGGCUUCGAAUAGGUCUUUCUAAUUGACUUCCUUCUCUCUGCAAGUGUUCUCCAGCUCCUGUUGAAGAAAGGAGAGCUGCUCCAGAAGCGAGGGGAGCAUCUUCGCCUUAGCUUGGGCGUGCUGCUCAGAUCGAUGAAGGUUUUCUAUCUCUUUGCAGUGUCGUUCCUGCUCCAUUGCUUGGGUCUUUGCUGCAGCAUUCAUUCUUUCGCCGAGCUCGCUGACUUCUUUGUGCUGCAGGGGCAAGCAAACACAUGGUGUGCAUGUGAUGUGACGACAACACCCGAUUACGACGCAUUUCAAAUCAAGUUUUCUCUGUUUUUCUUACGGAAGACAUUGGUAUUUCACGCACAUAUUUGACAUCAUUCAGGGUGGGAAAAUAAGGGAUACUGUGGCUGCUACCGGGUGACCUACGGCACAAAUUAAACGCUUGAGGGGUAUUGUGAGGCAUUUAUAAAACAAUUUAUUGAGCUGUGUUCCCAAUAGUUCUAAAUUGCACUAAAUUGCAUGACUACAAUUUGCAAACUCAAUGGGCUGCAAACUCAAAUAUUCACUGACAUUAAAUACCUAAAUUUACAAGUACCUUAAUUUACGGUUAUUUUGAGAUACGAGGUGUCUCUAAAGUUUUGUUAUGCUUUAAAUUGCGAAGAUAAUUUAAGUUACAAGCAGUUAGAUGGCGGAGCUAAUGUUACAGUGAAGACCAUAUGAUCUGUCAGAAAAAAAUCAAGUCUAACAUGCCAGCAUUGGCUUGGGGUGUCAAACUCAUUUUAGCUCAGGGGCCGCAUGGAGGAAAAUCUGUGCACACGCGCGCCGGAUUAUGAAAAUCAUGGCAUUAAAACUAAAAAAUAAACACAAAUUCAGAUUGUUUGCUUUGUCUUACUUUGGCCAAAAAUAGAAAAAAAAAAAUCUGAAAAUAUUACAAGAGACAUUAAAAAAAAAAAUACCAGCAGCGGUAAAGGUUAGAUCCAUGAAGGAAAGAAGAAAGUGAAUGAAUGUUUAUAACUGAAAGAAUUUACAUCCAUUCAUUUUGUACCGCUUGUCCCUUUCGGGGGAUGCAUCAUUUUUUUUUUCUUUUGUAUUUUUAUUUAGAAUAAAUUAAGUAACAUUUAUGAAAACCUUUUUCAAAAACACAAUAUAGAAUGUGAGAUAUAGCAGGAUAAUGCAUACAUAUAUCAUUUGUUUUCAAAACGGUUACACAAAAGUAGACCCCAAAAAUGUACCGUGGGACCCAAUUUUUAUGACUUGAUGGGGUACCUGGGACCCCAUUUUGAAAAUUCCUAGUGCAAAAAAAGCUGCAGAGGGCUGUGGUCUGCGGGCCGGUUCUAAUACUAAUUAAAUAUCAUCCCAGGGGCCAUAGAUAAUUAUUGACUUUGACACAUAGUGCUUAUAGCUACAGAUCAAAAUAACUUUGUUUUCCAAGCGUUAGAAUUCAAACAUUUAGCUGCGGUCCAUCUCCCACCGACAUCCUGCUGCUGCUGAUGCUUGCUCCUCCAGCCGCAGCUCAGCUUAAUUUGCAAACCUGAAGCGGUUCUGCCACUACGAACCGGAAAUGUCCUUGCUGUCCUCGCUGUUCCCUAGUAACUCUCCCAGCACAUCGCCCUAAAAGCAUUGACUCUUCUCUACCACAUCAUGGAUUGUGGAUGCGAGCAGAACUAGAAAUAAAACAUCCAACUUUUUAACGCCAUUACUUGCUGCUAUCUUCUGCUGCUGUCUUACUGAGCAGCCUUUCCUUUUCAGUAACUUGGCUUAUUGUACAUGUUGGACCAAAUGAGACGGCAAGACGCCAAUCAUAACAAACUUAGAAAGGAGUUUGAAGUCCUCUUGAGUCUGCUGGAAGAGGUAAAUGCUGUGCAAUAUUAAUAAUGUAUUACAAAAUACAGGUGAUGCAUCGUUAAUGUGCAUGCUGGCCGUGGGAAUUUUGCAUUACGUAUCCACCCAGUUACAAAUUCAUAAAACAAUAGUUUUUUUAAUGUUCCCUGUUUGCAUUACUAUUGUAUUGUUUUUCAAACAAUAUUUCCUAUCUUAACAGUAUGUUUGAGUUUUUAAAAGGCAGGGCAGCUGGGACAAGCUCCAGCCUCCAUCCGCGACACCGAGAGGGACAAGCGGUAAAAAAAUGGAUGGAUGUUUGUGAGAUAAUAAAAUUGUGUUAUUUUGGGAGGGCAAAGCAAGGAUUAAAUGUAUUCUAACUAAUUUCAAUGGGCAGGGCUGCUUUAAAAUAUGAGUAUUCCGAGUUACGGACGUAAUGGGCUAGUAGGUCGAAGUACUGCUGUAAUUUAAAAAAGGACCUACAACAGGAAGUUCAAAUUGGUUGCUAGAUAGAUAAUAGCUUACUUCCUUUGCACUGGCGAGAUGCCUCUAAGCCAGGCACAAACCACAAAAUCCCAGGUUGUGACUCGACAAUAUUUCCUCAAUCCAUUGUGAUCAGCCCUGCUAUCCCAUCAUACAAUAUAAUACUAUAAUAAUAUAAUACUAAAACUCUCACCUGCUCGUCUAUCUUGUGUUGCAACUGCAUAAUCUUGUUCUCCAUGCCAACGUUGAGAUUCUUGAAAUGCUCCACGGAGCGCGCGUUUACUUUGAGCUUCUUCAGUUCUUUCUUGGCCAUCAUGCGUCGCACACAGCUCUGCAGCAGGAUGAUGUUGGCCCGAGUGCGUUGAUAAUGCUUCCUGGCCAGCCAGCCUUUUGCCCACUUCUGAAUAACUAAAGCCUUUUGCUCAUACACCAACUGGGAAGAGAUGACAAGACAAACUUCAAAACUUUGACACAACUAACUACAUGAGUAUUGGGACACUAGAGCAACACGAAGUAACAAUUUCCCUUGUGGAUCAUUAAAGUUUGUCUAAGUCUAAAAAAUUGAUACAAGAUGAGUCAAUAGUCCACUCCCUUAUAACUUCCACUAUUUUGGGAAGAAUUUUUAAUAUAUUCUGCAAAGCGUCAUUUGUGAGGUCAAAGAUCUUAAUGAAGGUAUGGCUCACCAUCACUGUUGAAGGUCAUGCCAAUGGUGUUUGACAGGGUUGAGUUCAAAACAUUAUAUUUUUUAAAAUCAGACUACCCCCCCCCUCCCUUUGGAAUUUGGAUUAAUCAUGAUUAUUCGGGUAUUACUUGCUUGCAUAAUUUAAAUGAUCUAGCCCAAUAUUUGGAUAGAAAUGCGAUUUUAUUGUCAGAAUGUCAUACAGGAACAUCUUUAAAUGUUUUACUUGAAUACAAGUCAUUUUUUGUUGAAAACUUGGUAACAGCCGGCCGGGGUCUCCUCAAUCAUCUUUGUGCUGGCGUAUGCAUUGACCAUAUAACAACCAUUGACGUCUUUCAGGUCAUCAUAGGGACGGCGUGGCGCAGUGGGAGAGUGGCCGUGCGCAACCCGAGGGUCACUGGUUCAAAUCCCACCUAGAACCAACCUCGUCACGUCCGUUGUGUCCUGAGCAAGACACUUCACCCUUGCUCCUGAUGGGUGCUGGUGGGCGCCUUGCAUGGCAGCUCCCUCCAUCAGUGUGUGAAUGUGUGUGUGAAUGGGUAAAUGUGGAAGUAGUGUCAAAGCGCUUUGAGUACCUUGAAGGUAGAAAAGCGCUAUACAAGUACAACCCAUUUAUAACCCAUUUAUCCACAGUUCAGGUAACAGAGCGUGAAUGGUCAAAAUAAAAUGUGUGAAUAAUCUGUGUUUAUACAUGAUUAAUGCAAUAUUUUUUUGUGAUUAAUCACGUGUUAAGUUGUUAAAAUUGACAGCUCUAGUCUUAAUACUUCUGUCCAGACAGUACGUUGUCAAACCUUGCAUUGUUUGAUUAGGUUUGAUUGUUUUAAUGUCAUUUUUGUAAUUGUUUUAAUCGUUAACUGAAAUUUUCAUCAAAGUGUACAGUUUUGAAUGAUGACAUUGUCUGAUCAAUUCAAUUAAUUACCUUAUAGUAGAGCUUUCUGGCUGCAUAUGUCCUGAAGAAGCACUGAAUGACAACAGAUGCAGAGCGUAGUUUGUGGUAGCGUGCCCUUGCCGCCCACAUUCGAACAUUGCGCUGAAUGACAACAGCUGCUCUUGUUCUCCGCAGACAAUUAACAUAACUGCAAUCACAAAGGACCAUUUUAAAUCACUUUUUUUAUAUUUUGCUUGUUGUUAAUCUCUUGGCUCACCAGCGUGCCUGGUGACCCCGCACAUGUCUCUGUAUGGUGUUAGCAGAUUGUUUCAUCCUCAGGUAUUUUUUACGUGCCGACCAACAGCGUAUAGUCUUCUGGAUGCUGACACAAGCCCUACGCAGCUGCUCAGAACGUAGCUUCUCCAAGAAGGCCACUUGGCCAGCUCUGAAGAAGAUCUUAUUUUUACCAAACUGAUACAGGUUCUGGUCCUGAGAACCAAAACAACAUAGCAUUUAUGAUAUUUAUACAACAAAUGAUAUAAAACAUGGGAAAGAGAUUCCAUGAUAAUUAACACCUGGAUGAGCUUUUUUAGGACAUUUCUGCAGGUCUCUUUUCCGUCUGGGAGGACAUCCAUUUGCUUCAUGAGGACCCGAUACCGACUGAAGAAUUCCUGAGCUGCUAAGAAGCUACCUGGAUGGAAAUCCUGCUGCCGAAAUUCGGAUUGUUUCGAGGAUGCCACAAGCUCGCAGCUGCUGCACUGCCCUCUCAGGGUCCAAGCUUAAUGAAGCCGUCGCACUGGUACUCCACCUGGGCACAAAAAACCACGUCACACGGUUCGGGGUGGAAAAAGAGCAAAGGUCAUAAUAAUAACCAUUCUGAAAUUGCCAGACAAAAUACUUGCAUAAUACAAAUAUUAUGGUGAACACAGUAAACGUUGCCAUUGGCAAUAGAACUAAAUGGCACUCUUUUCAUUAGAACGUUUGAGUCAUCAUUUCAUUCCAACUCUGUUUAUUCUGCAAAGGGGAAAUGAUGCAAUGUAUGGAACAAUUUUUUGAAGAGGACUCCAAAAUGAAUUAAUAGAAUGUUUUAUUUCGUCUCUAAGUAGGUAGCACACGCAAAUGGUAAGAAGUGUCUCUAAGUACCUUGUCUGCAAAGUGGUGGAUGAUGAAAGCUGUGUUUGAUAACCUGGGUUUGUCAAAGUGAUCGUUCUGCUUCAACAGGGUGUUGUACAUUUUCUGGGACCAUGAGCCAUCAGAGCCUUGGGGCAUCUAUGGAAACAGGCAGAAAUGACCAAUCACCUCCUGCCUUACUCUGUAUCUGCUCUUGACAAAUGUGCAGGCUUCUCCUUGUGGAAAAGACUUAUAAAAACAAGAGCGCAAAGGAAGUACGGACCGCUGCCAAGGGCUAAAUAUUGUAUGUUCUGAAUAGUUUGAAGGAGGUUGGUUACCUUUCAUUCAGAGAUCAUCUGAGAGUAGAGAUUGAUCAUUACACAGGAGAAACAAAUGAGAAAUACAUUGGCAUAGUGCGCAAAGUUAAUUUAUUUCAGGAAAUCAAAACUAAAGAGACUUUAACGGCUGACAAGACCCUGCAAAAAUAAAAGCAGUUAAUUUGCUUACAAUGUUGAAUGUUUCACAAUAUUAAUAUUUCAUGAAAUAGUAAUUCUGGAAUUUUUAUUAGUUAUAGGUUAUAAUAAUCACAAUUAAUAAAAAAUGAGUGGACCAUGCAAUACAUUUAUGAAAUAGUUCACCGUGUACACCACUAUAUAGUAUAUUCGUUUAACGUUUUGAUUUUUAAUAUUGAAAACAAAUGUCAACAUUUUUGAGAAUGUAAUCAUAAUUAUUAGAAGAUUUUAACUCUAUUUCAUUCCAUGGUAUUUUAAUAUUGCUGCUAAAUAUGGCAUCUAGAUCAGAUUUGGUUAAAUCUUGGUUGAAAAAGAUUUAAAAGAUUUAACAAAGAUGUGCUUUUUUAAAUUCUCACAUUAUAGAAAGGGUAAAAAAAUUACAUUGUUGACAAUUAUCAAUGUUUGCAUUCUCUAUUAUUAACAAUAAAUAAAUUACCGGUAUUUAAAAACAUCUACAAUGAUAAAGUACCCCUCAUGUAUUGCUGUUAAUUGGUUCCGAUUAGACUGCUAUUAAUGAAUUUCCGCUAAGUAAAAACCAUUAUUUAUAAAUUAAAUGUAGUUUUAUUUUAAGUUUACUAGCUUUAAAAUACAUUUUUAACAUUAUGAGAGCCCUCUAGACAUGAAAUAACACCUUUUGGUCACCUUUACUUUUUUAAUCCUUCCACAAUACAGAUCUGAUGGGUUUGGUCCCAACUAGUGGCCAAUACUACUGCAGUAUUUAAUUCAGUUUAGCCAUUUUAUGCUUAAAAAUGCUUAAUUUAGGGAAAAUAUUAGACAAAAUAUGCUUUAAAAAACAAAAAACAUACGCAAUGUGGUGGAGACGUAAUAUUAGAAGCACGAUGUGGCGAGAGACGCCUGAACAUCUAAACACUGUAUCAAACGGAAGUCAGUUAAGAUUCGUCAAAAAAGGUAACAAUUAUUUUACUGUACUUUACACUCCUCAUCCAGAAGGUCCAGGAUGCCCAGCUUGGCCUCGAUGAGAUUGAUGCAUGGCUGGUUGUCAUAGAAAUCAAUCAGCGUCCACGGAAUCUGUUCUUUCAUGUACUCUUCUUGCUCCAGUUUGAAGACAUGCUGCAGGCGUACAGCACAUAGCGAUCAUGUAAUCAAUGUAAAAAAUAUUGGUUUUAUUGGACAAUAGAAGACAAAGAAUAGGGAAUAUACCAGGUUGAAUUGCUGCUGGAGCUUUUCGUUGGCAUAGUUAAUGCAAAACUGCUCGAAGCUGUUAAUGUCAAAUGUUUCAAACCUGGUAAAAGAUGACAAAAUGUUAAGAAAACGUGGAAAAUGUACAAACAUGAAGAUGAUAACAUACCCAUAAAUAUCCAGCACACCGAUGAAUGAGUGUUGUUUAACAGCAGAUUUGAGCACAUUGUUUAUACAGCCAACAAUCCAGCUGAAAAUUCUGGCGUAGAUGUGUUUGGCGAGGGCGUCGCGACCAUUUACUGCAUUUGUCUUGGAGACGCACUUGACGUAUGUUUCUGUGGUUGCUUUGAGUUUCCUAUGGCAGAGCCAGUGGGCCAUUUCUUUACAGGGCACCCCCAUCAACUCACAGAACACCACCAAGUGGG